rnacentral:rRNA from 1 species
CAUGCAAGUCGAGCGGAAACGAUGAUAGCUUGCUAUCAGGCGUCGAGCGGCGGACGGGUGAGUAAUACUUAGGAAUCUACCUAGUAGUGGGGGAUAGCUCGGGGAAACUCGAAUUAAUACCGCAUACGUCCUACGGGAGAAAGGGGGCAACUUGUUGCUCUCGCUAUUAGAUGAGCCUAAGUCGGAUUAGCUAGAUGGUGGGGUAAAGGCCUACCAUGGCGACGAUCUGUAGCUGGUCUGAGAGGAUGAUCAGCCACACCGGGACUGAGACACGGCCCGGACUCCUACGGGAGGCAGCAGUGGGGAAUAUUGGACAAUGGGGGGAACCCUGAUCCAGCCAUGCCGCGUGUGUGAAGAAGGCCUUUUGGUUGUAAAGCACUUUAAGCAGUGAAGAAGACUCUUCGGUUAAUACCCGGGGACGAUGACAUUAGCUGCAGAAUAAGCACCGGCUAACUCUGUGCCAGCAGCCGCGGUAAUACAGAGGGUGCAAGCGUUAAUCGGAAUUACUGGGCGUAAAGCGAGCGUAGGUGGCUUGAUAAGUCAGAUGUGAAAUCCCCGGGCUUAACCUGGGAACUGCAUCUGAAACUGUUAGGCUAGAGUAGGUGAGAGGGAAGUAGAAUUUCAGGUGUAGCGGUGAAAUGCGUAGAGAUCUGAAGGAAUACCGAUGGCGAAGGCAGCUUCCUGGCAUCAUACUGACACUGAGGCUCGAAAGCGUGGGUAGCAAACAGGAUUAGAUACCCUGGUAGUCCACGCCGUAAACGAUGUCUACUAGUCGUUGGGUCCCUUGAGGACUUAGUGACGCAGCUAACGCAAUAAGUAGACCGCCUGGGGGAGUACGGCCGCAAGGUUAAAACUCAAAUGAAUUGACGGGGGCCCGCACAAGCGGUGGAGCAUGUGGUUUAAUUCGAUGCAACGCGAAGAACCUUACCUGGU